rnacentral:rRNA from 1 species
UACAGGGGGGGCCAGCGUUAUUCGGAAUUAUUGGGCGUAAAGGGCGCGUAGGCGGCCAUGCGUGUCUUCCGUGAAAUCCCUCGGCUUAACUGAGGACGUGCGGAAGAAACUGCAAGGCUUGAGUCCGGGAGAGGGGGGUGGAAUUCCCAGUGUAGCGGUGAAAUGCGUAGAUAUUGGGAGGAACACCGGUGGCGAAGGCGGCCCCCUGGACCGGUACUGACGCUGAGGCGCGAAAGCGUGGGUAGCAAACGGG